rnacentral:lncRNA from 1 species
UUCAUAGUAGAUUAUGAAACUAUUUUGCCAAAUCGAUGGUCAACCAUAACAGAUUGUAGAACUGCUUUGUCAAACCCAUGGUUCACCUAUUGUAGAUUCUCCAAGUGCAUCCCAAAAUCUAUGCUCCACCAUAGCAUAUUCUGGAAUUGUUUUAUUAAUCAUAGGACCACCUAUACCAAAUUCUCGAACAACUUUCCUAAAUCGUCGGUCCAUUAUAGUAGAUUCAGGAUUUGCUUUACUAAAUCUAUGGUCCUCCUACAACAUAUUCUAGAACUACUUCAUCAAAUCCAUGGUCCAUCUACAACAGAUUAUGGAAUUGCUUCAACAAAACGAUGGUCCACCAUAGUAGAUUUUAGAACUUCUAUGCCAAAUCCAUGAUCCACCUACCAUAAAUUCUUUAAUUUAUUUACCAAAUUGAUGGUCCAGCAUAGAAGAUUAUAGAUCUGCUUCACCAUAUCCAUGAUCCACCUACAAUAGAUUCUUGAACUACUUUACCAAAUCGAUUGUCCACCAUAGAAGAUUAUCAGACUUCUUCACUAAAUCGAUUGUCCGUUAGAUUCUAAAACUGCAUCACCAAAUCCACAAUCAACCUAUACUAAAUUAUCAUUGACGGUUGACUACAACAGAUUCUAGAACUACUAAUCAAAUAUGAUGUCUACCUACACCACAUUCUCGAAAUGCUUCACCAAAUCGAUGGUCCCGCUAAGUAGAUUCUAGAAAUGCUUCACCAAAUCCACGGUCCACCUGUAAGAUAUUAUUGAUCUGCUUCACCAAACCGAAGGCCCACUGGGGCAGAUUCUGAAACUGGUUCAUCAAAUCCAUGGCCCACCUAAAACAAAAUUGAUAGUCUACCAUAUAAGAUUUUGGAACUUCUUCACCAAAUACAAUGUCUACCUACAUCAGAUUUUCUAACUGCUUCACCAAAUACAAUGUCUACCUACAUCAGAUUUUCUAACUGCUUCACCAAAUAAAUAGUCCAAGACAAUAGAUGCUACUAGUUCACCAAAUUUCAUGGUUCACCUAUAGUAAAUUUUCAAAACGCUUCACCAAAUCGAUGGCCCACAUUAACAAAUUCAUGAACUCUUUCAUCAAAUCUAUGGUCCACCUAUACAGGAUUCUCGAACUUCUUCACAAAAUUGAUUAUGAAUCUGCUUUACCAAAUAUAUGUAUGUUACCCCAUUUUCAGCACAGUCAAACAUUUACAAGAAUAUGGUAAUAGUAUUAGUAACCCUAUUCAAAUCCCAGCCACAAUAAAAUAAUAGUUUUAUUAUUAUUUUUACUAACAUGUUGACUGCCGUGCUUAUCAACCCGCUUUCCUAUCAUGUGUAAUGCG